rnacentral:rRNA from 1 species
UACGUAGGGUGCAAGCGUUGUCCGGAAUUAUUGGGCGUAAAGAGCUCGUAGGCGGUCUGUCACGUCGGCUGUGAAAUCCCGAGGCUCAACCUCGGGUCUGCAGUCGAUACGGGCAAACUAGAGUAUUGCAGGGGAGACUGGAAUUCCUGGUGUAGCGGUGAAAUGCGCAGAUAUCAGGAGGAACACCGGUGGCGAAGGCGGUUCUCUGGGCAUUACCUGACGCUGAGGAGCGAAAGUGUGGGGAGCGAACAGG